rnacentral:rRNA from 1 species
AAUGAACGCUGGCGGCGUGCCUAACACAUGCAAGUCGAGCGCGAAAGGGGUCUUCGGAUCCCCGGUAGAGCGGCGGACGGGUGAGUAACACGUGGAUAACCUGCCUGGAUGUGGGGGACAACUUCGGGAAACUGGAGCUAAUACCGCAUAAGCUCUUCUUCUUGCGAGGAGAAGAGGAAAGGCCUUCGGGUCGCUUCCAGAGGGGUCCGCGUCUGAUUAGCUAGUUGGUGGGGUAAAGGCCUACCAAGGCGACGAUCAGUAGCCGGCCUGAGAGGGUGAACGGCCACACUGGAACUGAGACACGGUCCAGACUCCUACGGGAGGCAGCAGUGAGGAAUAUUGGACGAUGGGCGAAAGCCUGAUCCAGCAACGCCGCGUGGAGGAUGAAGGUCUUCGGAUUGUAAACUCCUGUCAGGUGGGACGAAAACACUGACGGUACCACCAGAGGAAGCCCCGGCUAACUCCGUGCCAGCAGCCGCGGUAAUACGGAGGGGGCGAGCGUUAUUCGGAAUUAUUGGGCGUAAAGGGCGCGUAGGCGGCCUGACGAGUCAGGGGUGAAAUCCCUCGGCUCAACCGAGGAACUGCCUCUGAAACUGUCAGGCUUGAGGCCGGGAGAGGGUAGUGGAAUUCCCAGUGUAGCGGUGAAAUGCGUAGAUAUUGGGAGGAACACCGGUGGCGAAGGCGGCUACCUGGACCGGUUCUGACGCUGAGGCGCGAAAGUGUGGGUAGCAAACAGGAUUAGAUACCCUGGUAGUCCACACUGUAAACGAUGAGCACUCGGUGCUGCGGGUGUCGACCCCUGCAGUGCCUUAGGAAACCCGUUAAGUGCUCCGCCUGGGGAGUACGGUCGCAAGGCUG